GAUGAACGCUGGCGGCGUGCCUAAUACAUGCAAGUCGAGCGAACAGACGAGGAGCUUGCUCCUCUGACGUUAGCGGCGGACGGGUGAGUAACACGUGGAUAACCUACCUAUAAGACUGGGAUAACUUCGGGACACCGGAGCUAAUACCGGAUAAUAUAUUGAACCGCAUGGUUCAAUAGUGAAAGACGGUUUUGCUGUCACUUAUAGAUGGAUCCGCGCCGCAUUAGCUAGUUGGUACGGUCACGGCUUACCAAGGCAACGAUGCGUAGCCGACCUGAGAGGGUGAUCGGCCACACUGGAGCUGAGACGGGGUCCAGACUCCUACGGGAGGCAGCAGUAGGGAAUCUUCCGCAAUGGGCGAAAGCCUGACGGAGCAACGCCGCGUGAGUGAUGAAGGUCUUCGGAUCGUAAAACUCUGUUAUUAGGGAAGAACAAAUGCGUAAGUAACUAUGCACGUCUUGACGGUACCUAGUCAGAAAGCCACGGCUAACUACGUG
rnacentral:rRNA from 1 species